rnacentral:rRNA from 1 species
GAUGAACGCUAGCGGCAGGCUUAACACAUGCAAGCCGAGGGGUAUAGUUCUUUCGGGAUCUAGAGACCGGCGCACGGGCGCGUAACGCGUAUGCAACUUGCCCUACUGAAAAGGAUAGACCUUCGAAAGAAGGAUUAAUACUUUAUAACAGACUUAAUGACAUCAUUAGAUUUCGUAAGAUUUAUCGCAGUGGGAUAGGCAUGCGUAAGAUUAGUUAGUUGGUGAGGUAACGGCUCACCAAGACGAUGAUCUUUAGGGGGCCUGAGAGGGUGGACCCCCACACUGGUACUGAGACACGGACCAGACUCCUACGGGAGGCAGCAGUGAGGAAUAUUGGACAAUGGGUGGAAGCCUGAUCCAGCCAUCCCGCGUGUAGGAAGACGGCCUUAUGGGUUGUAAACUACUUUUAGCAGGGGAUAAACCUACUUACGUGUAAGUAGCUGAAGGUACCAGAAGAAUAAGCACCGGCUAACUCCGUG